rnacentral:lncRNA from 1 species
ACAACAAAUAAUUAGAAUUAACAGAUCUAUGAGGCACAUCAGUCGCCUUCAGACUUCACAGAAGUUUCCGUCGGGGCUCGAAGUGUUGUGCACUCUUAUUUAGGACUCUUGUUAAACAAACCUCAUUUUCUCUACAAACAAUGCAGUGUUCUAGUAAUAAAAAGGAAUGUUAUAUUUCUAUGAUUGAAAAAAGAACUUCCAAAUAUGAGCAAAAGGAUGAUCUUUCGGACAUCGUUCUGGUAGUAGAGGACAAGAAGCUUCACGUCAAUAAAGCCUUGUUGAUGAUACAUUCCAAUGUGUUUAAGACAAUGUUCACCGGAUCCUUCAUUGAAAAGGAUUUAUCAGAGAUUCCACUUCCAGGAAAGAAAGUGGAUUUAAUGGUGGAGCUAUUGGACCAUAUCCAUCCCGGAGACACUACUGGCAACUUUAACACUGAAACUCUACGUGAACUUCUCCAACUCGCCGAUGAGUAUGGUGUCCAGCAGGUCUUUCACAACUGCCGAGCAUACUUCGACAGACGCAUAAAUUGCAAGAAUCAAGACAUGAAGAUUAGUGAAAUUUUACUCUUCCUUGGGAUAGUCGAAGAGUGGAGCAACGAAUACGAUCAACUAAGUUCGUUCAGAUCUUAUUUAAUUAGAAAGGCAAGUAGAAUACAAAUGGGUCUUUUGAAAAUUAACAAAUAUUAUUCUUCUCUACCUGCUACAACUCAAAGAGACAUCCUCAUGCGUCAUCUUGAUAGAGUCGAAAGAAUUUAAGAAGUAUAAGACCUAGAGUUAAACAAUUGGCUAGUAGGAUUGAAACUACUGAUGGCUUUUCAUUGUAAUCCUUUGUGAUGAGCCUUUGUGUCAGACACAUCUUAUAAACACCCACAUAAGGUUUUCUGUGAAACAUUUAGGACGAUUCAGAGUUCUGUGAGUCCAUCUCAGCAUUGAUGACAAUUACUUUUGUAACAAGAUCAUAACAUAUAUCGAUCGAUUAUCAUUAAUAUUCAUCAAUUGGAGUAGUUCACGCUGUGUGAGAUUAGUUUGAUGUUACACGGGGUACAAUUAAUCUCAUUAGACUUCAUGCCAGCAGUCUACACAAAAGUUAUAUCGGACCAUUCCUAUGAUAAACUAUAGCACAUGUUGGACGAUACUUUAUAUUAACUGAAACUAUUUUGAUAGUAAAUAUAUUUUGAAAUUUUUAUCUAGAGAUUCUGUGUAUCAUCAGUUUAUAGAUAAACAGAUUUUGCUCCAAGGAACUUACUCUUGCACGGCACACUACAGUUAGUAACUGAAUUUCUAGCCAAGUACUUUUUGUUAUUAAUAUUUUUCCCAAACUGUCUGCUACUCAGUAUUUAGCAACAUUGAAUGCUCAAAUUGCCAACUAUUAUGUUGCACUAACACUUAAUCUUACGGAAGACAUCGUUUAUAUGAGUAGUUUGUGUAGUGGAAGUGAUCAAAGCGAUGUGUAACUAUGUCUGAGAGUAAUAUACCGUAAGUAACACAUUAGUAAGUUUACAUUUGUUUUCAUUCUCAUCUAUUCUAAUAGUAAAUAAAGGUGACUACUUAACUUGC